GUGAUUUGACGGUGUGUGAGCGGAGCGCAGGAUCCGCGUUGGUUGCGCUCCCUGUUUCGGGGAAGGCUCUAUUUUCUUUCGAACAACUGAUCUGCUGCCGAGCUAAAGUAAUAUGCUCGGUAAGACAAAUUGAAUGCUACGUGUAUUUGUUGUUUUGUUGCCUUGAAGCAUAAAUUUUUGCUUUUGUUGUUGUAGCUUUCUAGCAGGAUACAAGCCGUUAGCAUGUCAAAGCGAGCCAACGCGUUCAGUGCGAGCGAGAAAGCGAAUGCAAGCGAAUAAAUCAUCCGCGACGCAGAGAGCACACACACGCACACGCAAACAACUAAUCAGAAUGUGUGCUCAACAUUCGAGUACUUCCAUGUUUCACAAUUUUCUGAAAACCUAACCGAAAUCCAGCAACAACGGCCAGCAAAAAAACCUCCCUUCACACCACCACCUCAGAGCAGCCCUUCCGACAACUCACGUCGUGUGGCUGUGUGUGUGUGAGUGCGAUCUCUUUCUCACAAUGCCGCAUCGCAUGUAGAAGCCCAAGCAGGCGAGUGCCUUUAGGGGUCGAUGGCAGUAACCGGCUCCCGGAACCAACCGUCUCGCUUUCGCACGUACGCAGUUGGCAUUCCCAUUGUCUGCUGCUGGUGUGCGGCCCUGUCAAGCAGCAAACAAAAAAAGGCUCCGUUGUCGAGUGUCCAAACUCGAGAUGAAAAUCGCCCGUACCAGCUCGAGACCUCAGCAUCCAACAUGUUGGAUCGGUCCGGCCAACGGGCUUUCGCACCCAUCUCUUUUGCACCCUGCUCGAGCUGCUGCUCGAAUCGUUCCCGGUACCGCAUCAAGCUCGUGGUUCGCGGACGGUUUUUUUUUAUGUGGUACGGGAACGCAUGUUGAGGUUAUGUGUAUGCGAGCGAGCGCGCGCGGUGCAAUGUGGCCCCGCAGCACAGGGCUUACGACCAUCCGCAGCAGCCAGCCAGCUACCUUCGGCCAAGAGUGGUGUCCGAUGACCGAUUGUAAUGAGAGCGGGAAGGAGAGCAUAUAAUUGGGUCCGACAACCAAACUUCUGGCUGAGGCUGGGUUGAGUACUCCGAUCCGAGGAAAGCCUUCACCACGCACCCAGGUCAGGAAAAAUUAGAAUGAUCGCCAUCAAGACCGCAUAACGGCAAUCCAUUUAACUCGGCUUAAUGGCAAACGCUUCUUCUUUGGCCCUAACAACCUGAACAGGGGUUUGUGGUUGCUUCCUUGGCUUAAAUUUGCUCGAGACUAGAUCUAGUCAAGUCCUGCGUAUCCGGAGGCACCCGAUCUUCUUUCUUGACCUAACGACAUCUUAGGUCAUGCCUAAUAGACUUAUUGAUACCGCAUGUAGUUGGAUAGUCAGUCCUCACUUUGGGAGAAUGGCCCAUAUGGGAUUAGAACCCUGGUGCUGCCUCCAUUACCACCGGAUCCGGACCCGGAUUCAAUAACCAGGUCUCUGCCGUGUGACCGACUCACCUAACAACGAUGCUUGCAAACGGAAGAAACGCAACGUUAGAGAAGUCGUCAGCCAAAAACUGCAACUAUGCAACUUCAUCAACUCAUAAACAAACACACAAGCGACUCAACAGCACGCCACCGAACCAAAGCUUCUCAUCGCUGGAUAGGAAGUGAAUUCUGCCUCAGUACGCACGAUUGCAAAAUUUUAACCACAAAAGAUGCCUUCGCAUUUCUUUAUUUGUAAGCAUUGAGCGCUUCCCGUGCUUGGAAUAGUUAGAAUUUCUUCCCGCUGGACUUGGAGCGCACACACCCAACAAUGUGGGAACGUUUGUGAUGGCAGAAGCAAUGGAUGGCAUCCCUUUCCUUGGGCCAAAUCCGGCAAACUCCGGGAGACGGCAAACAUGGAAACCGAUUGGGUCAGCAAAUAUGCGCCGCAGUGGACGGCACUGCAUACUGGAUGCUUUCUGCUUGUUUACAUUACAAACCGCCUGACGAUUUGUGCUUCCCUUUUUUUCCAGCAAUGUCUUCUCUGCGAACGAGCGCGGAUGCUUGAUACGUUUUGAAGCCCUUAGACGAAUGGGGCGCAGACCACCGGGCUUGGCUGGGUGGCUCCGGUGUUGUGGCAGAAUGUGCUUCUUCUAUUUGCAAAUGUUUUGACUGCCCGCAAUCCAAACAAAUCUUCGCAGUUGUACGCAGAAUCUUCGUUACGCGCUGGAAGAAGCAACAAAGUAUGUACUCAUUCCUGACGACUUGAGGACUGCUGCUCUGACAAAAAUUAUCGCUUAAAAUAAGCAAGACUCUAGAGUUCGGCAUCGUCAGCAAGAAAGUGCGAGCAGAAAUAAAUGUUUCAGCAAGGGCAAACAAACCGCAGGACCACGGUAUAAGGCUUUCCAUCCCAAAGGUCUGCCACAUGUUAGAAGGACUGCCAUAGAACCCUCGCAACAACAACAAAAAGUAGCAUACGAAACAGAGCGGAUUGCAACAGUAAACUAUGCACACACACAGGCUUGCGAGCGCGCGCGUACACGCAUAACUAUGUGCAGUACGCGUGCCCUGCUGCCGUUGAUGCUGUCCUUUAGAGGGCCCCGACCGAACGAGCAUAAACCGUUCUGGUAGACUUUUUUUUCUAGCCGUACGGACAAAACCACCACUUCACCAAAGCACCACCAGAACAGGUUUCCAAGCGGGUCAAAAUAUCGUUGCGGAGAACGGUGAGGGGGGAAACCCAUCCGCCGGGAAAGCGUUGUAUCGCCUUCAACGGAUGUCGUGAAAAUGAACACCGUGCAACGGAAUGAACUUGAGCAUCCGUUAAAAAAAAAAUCUCGCACACACACACACAGAGAAGCGAUCAACAUAAUGUUGGGUGCAACAUGAGAACAGAUGAAUUGCAUGAAUGGAAGGAGAAAACAUAAAGCUGGGAAAUGAACCAACGUAGCAUGAUGGAAUCGAGCAGAAUCAGGUGGGUUGUUCAAAAUGAUCGUUGUAGAGGAGGAAAAUCCUCGAGCUGCCAACAAUUGC